UCAUGAAAGAGGAUCAAAGACCAAUCACAGUAGUAGGAAUCAUCUUAAUGCAUUGGAUGCAUGCAAUCAUGCUUUCGAAAGGGUCUCACUAAGUAAACCUGGUUCACCAAGUAAAUCUGGUUCACCAAGUAAAUCUGGUUCACCAAGUAAACCUGGUUCACCAAGUAAAUCUGGUUCACCAAGUAAAUCUGGUUCACCAAGUAAAUCUGGUUCACCAAGUAAAUCUGGUUCACCAAGACAAGUAAAUCUGGUUCACCAAGUAAACCUGGUUCACCAACUAAAUCUGGUUCACCAAGUAAAUCUGGUUCACCAAGUAAACCUGGUUCACCAAGUAAAUCUGGUUCACCAAGUAAAUCUGGUUCACCAAGUGAAGAGACUGAGAGCUGCAACCCUCCGGGUCAGCUUAUAUUUCAAUACUUUG
rnacentral:lncRNA from 1 species